GGGAAUUAGCUCAGCUGGUAGAGCGUCUCGAUGGCAUUGAGAAGGUCGGGGGUUCGACUCCCCCAUUCUCC
rnacentral:tRNA from 1 species